AAUAAAUAAAUAAAUAAAAAUACUGGUUGAAAGAAAAAAAUGAGUGAAUUAAUGAAGACACACAAAUUAUAUGCACCUGAUGCUUAGCAUGGAGCCCUGCACACAGUAAAUACAAAUACAGGUCGAUUAGGUUCUUACUCUGCUUCCCUAAGGCACCAGUCUAGCCUUCUAGGAAGGUAGGACUCACGUUACAGCCUGAGCCCCCCAAAAGGCAACGUGGAAAGAACAUUUAUUCAGCACCUCCUGCAUGCCAGGACUGUGCUGGCUCUUAGUCUACUCUGUCCCAUUGAACCACCCACCAGACAAGUCCUGGCUGAAUCUCCAUGUUUCAGAUGAGGGCACUGAAGCUGAAAGAGGUGAUUUAAGUUGCCCAGGGUCACUCAGUUUGCACGUGGUGGUGAGCUGAGACUCAGGCCCAAGUCUGUCUGACUCCAAAGCCCUCUUGGGGCGGCACCCCGUGGCCUCAGGCACCCCCCCACCUCCCACUUUUAUUGCAGUCUUGGCCCCUGUGCCAUUGCCAUUGUUCCUGGGUUCUGGAAUUUUCUGUCUGGCCUCUAACUGGAGUCCACCUUGUCUCCUCGGCUAAACCUGGCGUACCAGGCAUGUUUCUCAGGCUCACAUGGGACUGCAGCACAAACGUGCCUCUUCCUGCCUUUGUGGCUCAGAGACAAAGCAUUUGUUUUCCCUCUUUCCCCCUUUUAUUCCUUGGACACAGAGGCAGGCAGGCCAUUAGCAAAUUACUUCAAGGCUGGCUUUAGAAAACAUUUCAGGGCACGCCUUUGAGGGUUGUUUUAUGCCCGCAGUAGAUUCUUCCACACUGCUCUGAGUAAAUACAAGCCGGAGGCAGGAACCAGGAUGAAAUGAAUGGCUUAUUUAGAUAAAUCACGUACAAGGUCGGAAAGACUAAAAUCCUGCCCCCUCCCAGCCCCAGCCACGGAUACUGCUGUUGUCCCAAACUCUUAAGUCAUUGUCUGUUGCUUUAAAAAGUUUCUUCCCAUAAAACGAAUAUUUAAGUGAAGUCCCUGAGUAAAAAGGGCGUAUGUGGGUUUUCCACCUCAUUGAAAAUCUUUGAAGGGACAGUUUGAGAGGAAAGGUUUGGUUGCUGCAAGAACUAAUUUUUAAGCACCACAAGCUAAGAACAGCCACGCCCACCACGCAUUUACCAGCACAUCAAUGCACGAUCAUCCCCAUUUCACAGAGGAGGAAAUCAAGACACAGAGAAGGAAGGAGUCUGCCCAAGGUCACACAGCUGGGACGCGGCACAGCCAGGACUCAACCCCAGGCAGGGGGUCCCUGGCUUUGCGUUUCGUUGACUUCUCUUCAAGACUGCACGUGUUCCUAUCCCAACUCUGCCUUUAUCCUGCUCAGGCAGAAUGUCUAGGCAAGCAACAGAGAGAGGGCACUCACAAGUGUGCAGCUACUGUGUGCCUGGCACUGUGCCGGGGGCUUGCUUCAAUCUCAUACCUAGCACUUGGUUCUCCUCAUUGGACACAGGAAGAAACUGAGGCUUAAGAAUGGGUCAGGGCUCCUCAGCCAGGAGUCUGAUUCAAGCUGUCAAGGCCAAGGCCAGCUGGUGCCUGCCACACAGUAGUGUGGCUACAUGGGAAGCAGCCUGAAGCUUGAAUGUAUUUAGCAUGUAUUUACACUCUUGGUGGCAUCCCAAUGCAACAGAGAAUGGCUCUGCACCACCCAACUUCAUUUAUUCAACCAGCUGGAGAGGCAGCUGCUCCGGUGGCACCAACCUGUAACACAGGAAGAGGCCUAGGGGAUUCAGGCCAAUGCCCAUGGUCACACCACUCCCCAGGGUGGGGAAAGAGGGAUACCAACAGAGCCUGCCUGUCACCAACCCCCUACCCUGAGAGAGAAUAGGACUUACAGAGAAACCAACAGAGACAGAGCAAGGCAGAGAGACACAUCACAGAGACAGAGAUACACACAGAGGGAGACAGAAGGAAUGAGGGGCCUUCUUUCCCUGUGCCAAGUCACACCUUUCAGAGGUUGGGGAAUCUGUCUCGUAAAUUUAAGCCCCACUAAUUUGUCCAAGGCCACAAAGGAGCACAGACCCACUGUGAAGGAGACGUCCUGUGAACGAGACACAUGUCAUGCCCAAGUGCUCGGCUCCUGCCUUGCAUUUGCACUUGCCUGCUCCAGCUGCUGUAUGGCCUGGGGUGAGUCACCACACCUCUGGGCCAGCAGAGGGGAUACUGAGCCCCUGCACCUGGCAGGGCAGCUGUGAGCCCUGCCACCUCGAGUGAAAGGAGGGCCAGCUCAGGGCUCCUCCCUAAAUGCUGAGUCCCUUAAUGACUACAGCACUCCUGGCUAGGAGGAACCCAGAAAAAGGGGCUGGCUUAGCCCUUCGCCUGUCCUCAGGUGCUCCCACAAACUGGGCCAACACAGUCAGGUGGUAGAAGUCUCCUAUGUGAAAAUGGCAGGCCCUCUCUUUAGGCUCACGCUUGGUCAGUGAUGUGGGCAGCCCUGAAGUAAUCGGGAGGGUCUGGGGAGAACAUCUGCCGGGAGCUGGACUGGAAAGAGCCGUGAAUGGGGAGGUCAGAGCCUGGGGUUCCAGACCUGGCUCUGCCACUCGCUCACUGUGCUUCCCCAUGGUAGGCACUUUCGCUCUCUGGGCCCAAUCCCACCUCUCCAAAUCACCAUAAGGACCUUAUGAUUGUUUCUGCCCUGUCCCCCAGCAGGACACAGGCCGAGGUUUUCAUCAUUAGCUGUCAUUCCACCCUGCUGUCCCAAUCCAAGCCCUCCUGAGUCUGCCUGAGUAAGAAAUAAAGGCCUGCCGCCCUGGCCCACUCACACCAAGCCCCAGGUUCACGGCCAGCGGGCAAAUUCGCCCACCAUCUCGGUCUCCUAAGGCCCUUUCCUCGGCAAUUCAACGAAAGCUCGGUAGAACGACAAAAACUACAACUCAGCGUGCACAUGACAUGGCCACUUGUGCUUCCUAGGAGGGUGAGAGGAGAUGAGGCAGGUGCCACUAAUCCACCCUAAAAAUAGGGGGAAGGAUGAGCUUUCGUGUCGGGAGCUGGGGUGUUCACACUUAAACAUAAAUCAACCGGCAAAUUCAGCCAAACUCAUGCGCUGGCCCUGUCCACACAGACGUCGAAUCCAGCAAAAAUUUCCUGACCGACUUCGGGAGAGAGAGGAAUUAUUGCUACGUGCCUCUUUCCCAGUGAAGAAAAUCUCUGUUGGCUGCGAGCAGAGAAGCGGCGGAAGGAUUCCCGACUCCGGGAAGCCAGGUGUCGGAAGGAAGAGGUACGCUUGAAGGGGGUCCGGCUGCCCGACUCUGCACUCGUCCGUUCAUGGCCCACCGUGGUGGUCACCAAAUUGAGGGCUUCCUGGAAGGACCUCCUCACGGUGCCCAUCCACUGGGUCAUGUGGGUCUGAGCCACUGUGAGUUUAUCUCCCAGCUGUCUCUCCCUCCCUCUCUGGAAGGCAACACUGGGCCAGGAUCUCACUCUAUUGCCCAGGCUGGACUGCAGUGGCGUGAUCAUAGCUCACUGCAGCCUUGGCCUCCCAGGCUCAAGUGAUCCUCCCACCUCAGCCUCCUGAGUAGCUGAGACUACAGAUGGAGCAACACCGUCAGUCAGAAGGUAGCAGACGGCACAGGGCUUCCGCGUAAGGCCUGCAUCACCUGAGUCAUGGUUUUCUCAUCUUGCAUGAGGCCCACCCGCUUCAAAAGGUUGCGACAAAAAAACUGAGAUAAUUUGUGCCCCUGGCACGUAAUAAACACUCAAUAAGGCCGGGCGCAGUGGCUCACACCUGUAAUCCCAGCACUUUCGGAGGCUGAGGCGGGUGGAUCACUUGAGGCCAGGAGUUCGAUACCAGCCUGACCAACACGGCAAAACCUCGUCUCUACUAAAAAUACAAUAAUUAACCAGACAUAGUGGUGUGCACCUGUAGUUCCAGCUACUCAGGAGCCUGAGGCAGGAGCAUCUCUUGAACCCAGGAGGUGGAGGUUGCAGUGAGCGGAGAUCGUACCACUGCACUCCAGCCUGGGUGACAGAACAAGACUCUGUCUCAAAACAACAACAACAACAA